UACGAAGGGAGCUAGCGUUGCUCGGAAUCACUGGGCGUAAAGCGCACGUAGGCGGAUCUUUAAGUCAGGGGUGAAAUCCUGGAGCUCAACUCCAGAACUGCCCUUGAUACUGGGGAUCUUGAGUCCGGAAGAGGUGAGUGGAACUCCGAGUGUAGCGGUGAAAUGCGUAGAUAUCUGGAGGAACACCGGUGGCGAAGGCGGCAUCCUGGACCGGCAUUGACGCUGAGGCGCGAAAGCCAGGGGAGCAAACAGG
rnacentral:rRNA from 1 species